rnacentral:lncRNA from 1 species
GGCCUUUUGGGAAGUGAUUAAGUCAUGAGGACUCCACCCUUAUGAAUGGAUUACUACCUGUAUAAAAGAGGCUUCAGAGAGAGUUUGCCCCUCUUGCCUUCCACCUGCUGCUAUAUGAGGACACAGCAGCAAGGUGCCAUCUUGGAAGCAGAGAACAGCCCUCGCCAGACACCAAAAUUGGUGGCUUCAGAACCGUAAGAAGAAUGGUCACACUGUUUUCCAAAGUGACUGCACCAUUUCAUAUUUCUACCAGCAACAUCAUCAUCUUCCUUUUACAGAUGAAGAAACUCAUAUCAUGGAAAAGCAUGGAUGAAAUCCUCUGACCACCCUACAUUUAAAGGACCUUUAAAGAGAAAGAACUGACAGUGUAAGUGGAAAAAGAGCAACUGGAAGUAGCAGGAGAAGGAAAAACCAUUAUCAUACAACUGGUGGGAAGAAGGAAUGUCAAAAACAUCAGUGUGAAAAUAAUUGCAGUAAAACGAAAAGGAAAGGCAACAUGAUUAACAAACCUCAG